AUGAUGGAGAAAAUAGAUCCUGGAAGCCCAGGAAUGCGCAAACAGAAGUUGAACGUUCUAGAAUGCCUUGGGUUAGGAGAAGAGCCCUCAAGCACUCACUGCCAGCAUUCCUCAGGACACUGUAUACCGGUAUUGAAAGAGGUCUUACAAAGGAUGGGUUGUGACUGUUCUCUCUCACAAAUGAGUCUGCCAGAGCUUGGAGAGGGCAUGCAAUUGCUUCAUGAAGGUCUCAGAGACAGUUUGAGCACCAGGCCUGCACCAAAAACCUCGUGUUAUCUAAUUGAAAUGGCACAAUUGCAAGGCUCCCAGUGGAGGCACAAAACCUGGCAAGAGACUUAGGGGGAGGAAGCCGAGUCAAUGUCCUCAACUCUUCCAUUGUCACAAUUUCAAUUGCUGUUCCCAUUGCAGUAGACGAUCCCAGUCACCACGGCUGGAGUCCACGGUCCUUAGCACCACAGUAGAUGUUCCCUGUCCCCACCAGCACAGUGUCCACUGUCACCAUCUCCACAGUAGGUGUCCCUGUCCCCAGCACCACAUCUGACACAUCUCCAGGAGGGUCCCACAGUGUCCAGCCCCUCUACACUUGGACAAAGUUAUCCCUAGAGCCCUCCCUCCAGUCCCGCUCCUUCACACCUUUAUGCCACUACACCAUUUCCCUGACCAAACACAGCCGUCAGAGUUGACACCACAGGGCUGAUUCAAUGUAAGCAGCCAUUGCUGAAUGACCUCCUGUCAAGUGCAGGUGAUAAUUUGUCCUGUGGGUUUGGUGUGAGCUGGGAGUGCUCUCUGCCCGGCACAUCCGAUUCCCUUCCUUCUGAAUGCAGCCUGAGACCAGGCUUACCUGAACCCUUUGACGUGAAGCAAGGCUGGUUUGAGAGGGAGGGCAAGCAUCCCUUCCCUUUGGCCUGGGUCGGCCAUGACGCGUGAGCACAAGGGAACCUGUUGUAGGCUCCAGUGGUUCCAGGCGAGGUUUCUCCUGCAGCACCGCAUAGCCCAUCCCAGCAGAUACAGCUGCUCUUGUUAACCUCACUGAGGCCCUGAAAG
rnacentral:lncRNA from 1 species